rnacentral:rRNA from 1 species
AUUGAACGCUGGCGGCAUGCUUUACACAUGCAAGUCGAACGGCAGCGGGGGCUUCGGCCCGCCGGCGAGUGGCGAACGGGUGAGUAAUGCAUCGGAACGUGCCCAGUCGUGGGGGAUAACUACGCGAAAGCGUAGCUAAUACCGCAUACGUCCUGAGGGAGAAAGCGGGGGAUCUUCGGACCUCGCGCGAUUGGAGCGGCCGAUGUCGGAUUAGCUAGUUGGUGAGGUAAAGGCUCACCAAGGCGACGAUCCGUAGCUGGUCUGAGAGGAUGAUCAGCCACACUGGGACUGAGACACGGCCCAGACUCCUACGGGAGGCAGCAGUGGGGAAUUUUGGACAAUGGGCGCAAGCCUGAUCCAGCCAUGCCGCGUGAGUGAAGAAGGCCUCGG